rnacentral:rRNA from 1 species
AGAGUUUGAUCCUGGCUCAGAUUGAACGCUGGCGGCAUGCUUUACACAUGCAAGUCGAACGGCAGCACAGAGAAGCUUGCUUCUUGGGUGGCGAGUGGCGAACGGGUGAGUAACAUAUCGGAACGUACCGAGUAAUGGGGGAUAACUAAUCGAAAGAUUAGCUAAUACCGCAUAUUCUCUGAGGAGGAAAGCAGGGGACCUUCGGGCCUUGCGUUAUUCGAGCGGCCGAUAUCUGAUUAGCUAGUUGGUGGGGUAAAGGCCUACCAAGGCGACGAUCAGUAGCGGGUCUGAGAGGAUGAUCCGCCACACUGGGACUGAGACACGGCCCAGACUCCUACGGGAGGCAGCAGUGGGGAAUUUUGGACAAUGGGCGCAAGCCUGAUCCAGCCAUGCCGCGUGUCUGAAGAAGGCCUUCGGGUUGUAAAGGACUUUUGUCAGGGAAGAAAAGGCUGUUGCUAAUAUCGACAGCUGAUGACGGUACCUGAAGAAUAAGCACCGGCUAACUACGUGCCAGCAGCCGCGGUAAUACGUAGGGUGCGAGCGUUAAUCGGAAUUACUGGGCGUAAAGCGGGCGCAGACGGUUACUUAAGCAGGAUGUGAAAUCCCCGGGCUCAACCUGGGAACUGCGUUCUGAACUGGGUGACUAGAGUGUGUCAGAGGGAGGUAGAAUUCCACGUGUAGCAGUGAAAUGCGUAGAGAUGUGGAGGAAUACCGAUGGCGAAGGCAGCCUCCUGGGAUAACACUGACGUUCAUGCUCGAAAGCGUGGGUAGCAAACAGGAUUAGAUACCCUGGUAGUCCACGCCCUAAACGAUGUCGAUUAGCUGUUGGGCAGCUUGACUGCUUAGUAGCGAAGCUAACGCG